AUUUUUACUGUGUCAUUUUGUUUGUUUGAGAUUCAAAGUAGACCAGGGAUAUAUCAAGCAUCCUCUCCUAGUGACUCACUCUCAGAGAAUUCUGUAAUUUUCUCUCAGCUAGUUGAACUUGAAGGACCAAAACAGUUCGGUCAUCAGAAUGCCUCUAUUUCUAUUGGUGAAGCUAAUUCUUGUGCCUUGGACGGUACCCCCAUCUUCCUCCCUCCUCACCUGGCCAAAGACAAGUUGGGAUCAGUGGGCCUGAGGUGGCUGUUGUGGUAGUAUAUAGCCACCCUUCACCUAGUAACCCUGCUUUCUUGCUUUAGCGGUUUGCUGUGUUUCAAAGAAGGGUGCUGACCACAGUAGUGCUCCCCCAGCAGAUGGAGACGAUGAAGAAAUGAUGGCCACAGAGGUCACCCCCUCAGCUAUGGCAGAGCUUACAGACCUGGGCAAAUGUCUGAUGAAGCAUGAGGAUGUUUGUACAGCACUAUUAAUUACAGCCUUCAAUUCCCUGGCCUGGAAAGAUACUCUGUCCUGCCAGAGGACGACCUCACAGCUCUGCUGGCCUCUCCUCAAACAAGUGCUGUCAGGGACACUGCUUGCAGAUGCAGUUACAUGGCUUUUCACCAGUGUGCUGAAAGGCUUACAGAUGCACGGGCAGCACGACGGGUGCAUGGCUUCCCUGGUCCAUCUGGCCUUCCAGAUAUACGAGGCACUGCGCCCCAGGUACCUGGAGAUAAGAGCUGUAAUGGAGCAAAUCCCUGAAAUACAGAAGGACUCACUGGACCAGUUUGACUGCAAGCUUUUAAACCCCUCCCUGCAGAAAGUGGCUGACAAGCGCCGAAAGGACCAAUUCAAACGCCUCAUUGCUGGUUGC
rnacentral:sRNA from 1 species